UGGGGAAUUUUGGACAAUGGGCGAAAGCCUGAUCCAGCAAUGCCGCGUGUGUGAAGAAGGCUUUCGGGUUGUAAAGCACUUUUGUCCGGAAAGAAAUCCUUGGCUCUAAUACAGUCGGGGGAUGACGGUACCGGAAGAAUAAGCACCGGCUAACUACGUGCCAGCAGCCGCGGUAAUACGUAGGGUGCAAGCGUUAAUCGGAAUUACUGGGCGUAAAGCGUGCGCAGGCGGUUUGCUAAGACCGAUGUGAAAUCCCCGGGCUCAACCUGGGAACUGCAUUGGUGACUGGCAGGCUAGAGUAUGGCAGAGGGGGGUAGAAUUCCACGUGUAGCAGUGAAAUGCGUAGAGAUGUGGAGGAAUACCGAUGGCGAAGGCAGCCCCCUGGGCCAAUACUGACGCUCAUGCACGAAAGCGUGGGGGAGCAAACAGGAUUAGAUACCCUGGUAGUCCACGCCCUAAACGAUGUCAACUAGUUGUUGGGGAUUCAUUUCCUUAGUAACGUAGCUAACGCGUGAAGUUGACCGCCUGGGGAGUACGGUCGCAAGAUUAAAACUCAAAUGAAUUGACGGGGUCAUAGCUGUUUCCU
rnacentral:rRNA from 1 species